AGGGUUUGACAUCCUGCGAAUCUCUUGGAAACGAGAGAGUGCCUUCGGGAGCGCAGUGACAGGUGGUGCAUGGCUGUCGUCAGCUCGUGUCGUGAGAUGUUGGGUUAAGUCCCGCAACGAGCGCAACCCACGUCUUUAGUUGCCAGCAUUUAGUUGGGCACUCUAGAGAGACCGCCGGUGAUAAACCGGAGGAAGGUGUGGAUGACGUCAAGUCAUCAUGCCCCUUACAUCCUGGGCUACACACGUA
rnacentral:rRNA from 1 species